rnacentral:rRNA from 1 species
CAACUCUUAGCGGUGGAUCA